AGUUUCCGGCUGCGCCAUUGCUGUGUGGGUCUUGGGACCUCGAGUUGGAGGACGCGGGAGGGUGGGGGCGGGGGCAGGGCAGCGCUGAGAUUUCCGGGGAGCGGCAGGUGAGGCCGCGCGGGGCGGGUGACGGCACCCGGGCGGGCUCCUUUCCAGGCUGGAGCCCGAGACUGCCACGUCCUGCGGGGACCAAGUGGUGGGCGAGGAGGCGUGGAGCGGCUUCAGGACUCGAGGAGCGGUUCCGAAGCAGCUAGGGACUUUUGCCUUUGCCCCCCGAGGUCGAUCGGAAGACAACCCCCAUCCCCUGCUGUAGCGGGACAGUUGGAGGGUCAUGGGUGGGUGAAGUGUUUGGCUGAGGGAAACUCAGACCAAAGAGCAGCGGCAAGAAAGCAGUUGGGUCCCCACAAAACGCCCGAAGUCAAGCUUCUCCAUCAUCUUCCUCCACCUGAUUCGUAGAGACCUCUGGACAUCUGAGCCUAAGCAGGGCCACUAAAUGAGAGAGAAUCCCAUCACUGAAAAGCAACAAUGAAUAUAUUAAGGACCACAGGAGAGAUAGAAGAAAUAUUGCAACUGAAGCUGCUAGAUGGUUAUGAUUAUCUGAAUAGGUGUGAUCUUGACUUUAGCGAAUUAACAGAGAAUGGAAUCUCUCCACGUUGCCCAAGCAGGUCUCGAACUCCUGUACUUGAGCUAUUCUCCCACCUCUGCCUCCCUAAGUGCUGGGAUUACAAGCGUGAGCCACUGUUCAUGGCCUUAGGGACUUUUAAAUGUUAAAUUGAUUUUGACCU
rnacentral:lncRNA from 1 species